AUUGAACUCUGGCGGUAGGCCUAACACAUGCAAGUCGAACGGCAGCACAGUAAGAGCUUGCUCUUACGGGUGGCGAGUGGCGGACGGGUGAGGAAUACAUCGGAAUCUACUUUUUCGUGGGGGAUAACGUAGGGAAACUUACGCUAAUACCGCAUACGACCUACGGGUGAAAGCAGGGGAUCUUCGGACCUUGCGCGAUUGAAUGAGCCGAUGUCGGAUUAGCUAGUUGGCGGGGUAAAGGCCCACCAAGGCGACGAUCCGUAGCUGGUCUGAGAGGAUGAUCAGCCACACUGGAACUGAGACACGGUCCAGACUCCUACGGGAGGCAGCAGUGGGGAAUAUUGGACAAUGGGCGCAAGCCUGAUCCAGCCAUACCGCGUGGGUGAAGAAGGCCUUCGGGUUGUAAAGCCCUUUUGUUGGGAAAGAAAAGCAGCAGGUUAAUACCCCGCUGUUCUGACGGUACCCAAAGAAUAAGCACCGGCUAACUUCGUG
rnacentral:rRNA from 1 species